CUUGGACGCUGCAAGGUUAGGCAGGGGUUGUGGGUGUCGUCGUUGCUGCUGUUGUUGUAGAAACAGAAGGCUGACAAGGCUGGACGAAACCCCACAAACAGAAGAUCAAGUUGAUGAUGGGUUGAUAUGUGAUGAAUGUUUGCAAGCUCAGCAAUACGAGACAAGAUACAAGGAGGUUGGUGAGGGAGUUGAUUUGGGAGGUUGCGAUGAAGAAGAGGGAAGAGAUGUAUGUUGCGGACAUCAAAAGAAGAGUCCGCCUCCUCCUUAUUCAGAAAAUGAAGAAAAUUUCAGCAAAGAAUUUGAAGCUGGAUUGAGCGACAACACAGUCCAACCCUCAAGAAACUCGAACCAAAGUAAUCAUAAUCGAUUCAUUUUCCACCCAA